GAGACCAAUGUGCAAUUAAUUCUUAAAAAAAAUUUGUAUAUGGGCCCACAACCCCAAAAAUAAGGUUGGCCUUCUUUGGGUUCCCAAUUAGUAUAUUUAUUUAUUUAUUUAUAAAUUGUACAGUCUAAAAAUAAAGUUUAUAGUUUAUUCAUACUAAUAUUCUAUUAUUCUUUAGGACAUGUUUGUUUAUGAUUGUAAUAGAAAUGAGAAAUUAAAUUGGAUGGCCUUAAAAUGGGAAAUAGAAUAAUUAAUUUACCAAAAAUGUUUGAUUCAUUAUUUGAAAUGAAAAUUUAGAAUAUUGAGGAAGAGUUUCGGUUAAGAGAUAGAAAAGUGGUGAAAGGAGAGAAGGGGGAGGUAUUUAUAAGAGAGGAUUUUGAGCAGUUUACUGUUGAAUGGAUUAAUUUGUUAUUCAAAGCGGAUUGAGUUUCAAAUAGAUUUAGCUAUUCCCAUUUCAAAAUAGAGAAGAAUCAGAAUUCAAUUACUAUAAAAUAAAUAACAAAUAUCAAAAUUAAUGAAUCUCAUUCUAAUUUUAUAAUUUAAAAUAGAUAAAUUAAAUAUGUCCUUAAUAUUAAAAAUUUAAAAAAAAAUAAGUUUUAAACAUAUGGGCACCUUUUAUUCCACCUAUAACAUCGGAACCAAACAUGA
rnacentral:lncRNA from 1 species